UUCCCUGAAGAGUUUUCUUCUAUAUCCAGCCCUUUAUUCCCCUUGAAUUCAAAUCAGAGGAGCCAAACAGCCAGAGAUUCUCUGAAGGCUUUUAUACCCGGUGGGGUUUGGCCCCUCCCUUUUCCUGGGUGUCAUGGGAAUGAGAGGCGGGCCCAAUCAGGGGUAUAUUAACCCCAGGCUUUGCCAAGGGGCUUCAUUCCCUCUCUGGGAUCCACUGGGGUAAGAGCUCUCCUCUCAUUUUGGUGAAGAGGCUCUUUCAGCUUAGCUUGUUCUCUGUAGGUGCUUUUGGGCUUCUAAUGUAACAGAGGCUUUGAAGAUACUGUGAAGAAAACAACACUGAACACAGGGAGUAUUUAAUUUCAUGAUUUGGGGUUGUGCAUUCAGGGGUGGUGAAGUGCUUCUGUAAUCUCUGACAUUUUUUGGUUUGUUUUUUUGUUUUUGUUUAGGAGGAGUGCAACUUCCUGUAAUUCCAGGUUGUGUCGAGUACAACAUUUUUUCAGCAGAGUGAUCAUGUUCCAAAAGGGAUCUGCCCUGUGUCAAAGAUGAUGUCUGAGAUUGAGGUUUCAGGAGGUCCAGGCAGAUAGCAGCAGUCAAGGCCAAGUGUCCAAGGGAAUCGGCUCGGAGUACGCAUACCUCUGUCACCAACUGGCUGAUGGACCAGGUUUCAUGCACUUGUGAUCUCGCUGGAAGUAUUACAGGACCCUGUGACAGAGCCUUCCAAUUUUGCAUUUCAAGGUCUCAUCUGGGUAGUCCCGAGGAAUGGCUGGGGAAUUGCAGUGAGUUGGGGGAGG